rnacentral:tRNA from 1 species
GUGGGUGCAGCUCAGUGGUAGAGCACUUGCCCUUCAUGCAUGAGGCCCUGGAAUCCAUCCCCAGCACCACA